CCCCACACAUAGUUAAGGAGGUCCAUAUAAUCCUACAUUCUUUUUUAAACUUAAAAAAAAUUGUAACUUAUAGAAGAGGUAUAGGACACUGCUUAAAAAUGUAUAACUUCGUGAUAAAUGAUUUAAAAUGUGAACACUCUUGUAACUACACCUGGGUUAAAAAAGAGAACUUUGCAGGUCACCCUGGACGCCCUCCUCAAGCUCCUUCCACAGCCCCUUCCACAUCCUAAAAAGUAACCAUUAUUCUGGCUUGUAUGGUAAUCAUUUCUGAGCUUUUCUUUACAGUUUUUAUCAUCCAAAUGGGUGUCCCUAAUCACUAAACUAAAGUUUAACUUUGUCUGUUUUCAAAAAUGUUUAUAUAUGUCUUUUAAACCAUGUGAGGGAUUUAAAAGCUCCUUGAGACAAAUUUCACAUGAACCCACAGAGAAGAGCAAAACACUGGCGGACAGACCUACACGUGGUGCUGAUGUGGUUUCACAGCAAGACCAGGUGACGCUGGGAGUGUGGCAUCAAGGCAGGAUCUGGGGCAGGGGCAGGGGGGUCUCCCACCACGCAGGGGUGGGGCGCGGGGAGCCGCUCCACUCCUUUUCACCUGCAGCCCCCCAGUCGCCCCCCAUCAGUCAUCAGUGUGCCACUGAAAGAAGAGAAAAGGCACUGGUGAAGCGUCCCGCUCUCCCCUGGAAGGACAGGGCAGAAAGAGGCCCCCAGGAGCCCACGAAGGCCUUUAUGAUGGGCUCGAAAGGAACCAGUGCACCUCUGUCGCAUGAUAACACUUGGGUCUUCUCAGUGUGUCUCAGUCCUUGAAUUAACGAGCACGGGAACUGUAUGGGAGAGAGGGAGACUUAGAAAGUGCCAACACUCAUACCCAACCAGUCACCUUUCCUGCUCAAGCAAAGAUUCGGAAACCCAAGGGAAGACGAGAGAAAAUUAGACAAAAUACAAGAAAAAGCCAGCUGAGCUGUUGCGGUGGGGCUGAGAGCUCUGAGAAAAGUUCAGGGAAAUGGAAGUGAGAAGGGGAUUUGCAAAAGGGCAGUGAAGACCGGGUUCCACUCUUUUGGCUGAGCCUGCUAAGUUUCGACGUUCAUUUUCUUUCCUUUAAAAAAACGUUGCGGGCUGCAGCUGAGCUACAUGGCACCGAAAUGGAGCGGCUGCAAGCGAGAGCGAAAAAGGAAAGCCCGAGUCCGAUCCCAGACUUGUAUUCUCUCUGGGUGGGCAGAAGGUUUUAUUAUUUUUUUUAUUUCAUACAUCAUUAAAAUGCUUCAGUAUUUCCCCCAAGUCAGCAUGCUUUUAAAAAGUUUAAUGAGGAAGGAAAAUACUACAGAAAAGUAAAAUUCUGAUUAUUUGUAGCAAGGUGCUAUGGAAAGCAGAGGCCUGGCUUUCCUCCCUCAAUCCCUUUUCUGGAGGUGUGGUUCCUUCUAGAAACUUCUUUUUCCCCAGGCGUGAGACCUUUCCAGCAUACAAUUAAAAGUCAGAGAAGGCCCGUGAUUCGGAGAGCGUAUCCUUUCUGUGGCCUUGGGCCAGGUGCUUUGCUUCUGGGUGCCUCAGUUUCCCCCUCUGUCAAAUGGGAUAAUAAUACUUAAUUACUUCACCAUGCUGAGGUAAGGAUUAAUUAGUUGGUGCUUUGAAGCCAGAAAAUGCUACAACAGAGCUAAGCAUUAUUAUUAAUAAUACAUUUCAACUGAGUUGAUAAUUGCAUUUGCUGUCUCAAAUUUCCCUGGUGGUUUCAGCGGCUGAACUUAUAUUUCAGCUUCACUGGUUAAAAAAAAAAAGGAGUCCUACUGGUAGAAAUUAGCUCUGGUCUUCAUUGCGAAGAUGGACACUUAUGUGCCGUGGGUGAAAGGAUAUCUGUUCUAUAGAAACUGAAGAGGAGAUUCUGGAAAAAUCCCAAACGCCACAGAAAGUGCCAGGACAGCUAAGCAGCUUUAAAAAUGAAGAAAAUGCUAGUCAAAAAUGUGCCAGAUGAGAAGCAAGCAGGUCUAGGAGGUUACCACGUUCCAGAAUUGAUUCAAUUCCUAUGCUUUGGACCUAACCACAAAGUCAUUUAUCUGUUGUCUGCUGUGGGUUGUUUUUUCUCUUCAGUCCCUCUUUCUGGUCUCCACCCCUUCCUGUGCUAGGUCACUUCAGGGUGUGUUGGUGUGUGUGUGUGUUUAAAAUCUCUUCUUUGAUCCCUGUCUGUCUCCUCCUUUCCUUUAGGUCAACUCAAAGAAGCAUUUUUGCAUCAUUUAACUCCAACCCAUCCAAAUGAGAUGAAAAUGUCAGUGAGGCGAUGUCACUGCAGAGCCCCUGGUAUGUGGCAGAUGUUCAAGAAAUAUUUGUUCAGUGGAGCCAGGUCUUUGAGACUUCCUGAGGUCCUGCUGUUGAACAUCUAGUAAAGUGAUGUCAUAAAUGAAGGGGCCGUGGUGUGCAGCUUCCCCAAGAGUUGAAGCUCCGAACCAGCCUUCGGACAAGAACAGACGAUUUGCCCUCAUCAGCUCUUUUCCUCUGCUGCUGGGAGGAUGUCAUAGGAAUUGGUGAAACUGGAAACACAGGCCGUGUGUUCUGCUCUUGGUUGUACAACUGGGCUUGGGGAUGAGGAUGGGGAACGCAGAGUGAGAGGGACCAGAUGUCUCAGCAUAAAAAGAUUCAUCGUGCUAAAAGUGAUGUCUCAUCUGAUGUCUCAAAGCACUAGUGAAUGGAUCACACAUUUCCAGUCUGCAGCAUAUUUUGUCUCUCCAGUGAAAGCAAGACAAGAGGGGGGCGGCCCUGUGGCGUAGUGGUUAAGUUCACAGGCUCCGCUUCCGUGACCCAGUGUUCGCUGGUUGGAAUCCUGGGCAUGGAGCUACACAGCUCUCAUCAGGCCAAGCUGUGGCGGCAUCCCACAGAAGAACUGGAAUGGCUUGCAACUAGG
ensembl:lncRNA